GGGUCAGUCGUAUAAAGGUCAUUACGGAAGGCUGUUACCUUCUUAUCGUGGUUCGAGUCCACGCUGUCCCGCCA
rnacentral:tRNA from 1 species